GGCUCAGUGAUUUUCUGCCUUUGUUGCAGUAUACGCUAUUCCGAUUCAUAAUCCUGAGCAGAGAUUUCAAUUUUGAUGAGAGCU
rfam:Lupinus angustifolius cultivar Tanjil chromosome LG08, whole genome shotgun sequence.